rnacentral:misc_RNA from 1 species
GAACAACCCAACCCACUAUCGAGAGCCUCGAUUUUAUACAAAGGUUUUCCAAGAAUGUACUUUAAAGGAUGAUGCUGGAAAAUCAUAUGAACUUUCUCUUAUUGGUUAUAAGUGCAUUGAAACUUAUGUAAAAAACAAAAAGAAUCAAAAUGAGAUUUGCUGGAUAUGGCAGAAGGUUCAUUCCGAGGAUGACAGGGGAUUCCAGCAUUUCUUGGACACUGUUCAGUACAAGUCUAAUGGUAUACUGAGAUAUGAACGUGUGUUCGGGGCAGGCUUUGUCAGCACAGGAGGAAUUGACACCACCAAAGAAUUCGUUGCCAUGAUGGAUCUUCAGCCUGGCGAAAAGGUCCUUGACGUUGGCUGUGGC